UUACAGUUGACAUUUCCAUCGGUGA
rnacentral:piRNA from 1 species